CCGCCGCGCCGCCGCCGCCCUCUGCGCCCCGCGGCGCCCCCCGGUCCCGCCCGCCAUGCCCGGCCCGGCCGCGGGCAGCAGGGCCCGGGUCUACGCCGAGGUGAACAGCCUGAGGAGCCGCGAGUACUGGGACUAUGAGGCUCACGUCCCGAGCUGGGGUAAUCAAGAUGAUUACCAACUGGUUCGAAAACUUGGUCGGGGAAAGUAUAGUGAAGUAUUUGAGGCCAUUAACAUCACCAACAAUGAGAGAGUGGUUGUAAAAAUUCUCAAGCCAGUGAAGAAAAAGAAGAUAAAACGAGAGGUUAAGAUUCUGGAGAAUCUUCGUGGUGGAACAAAUAUCAUUAAGCUGAUUGACACUGUGAAGGACCCUGUGUCAAAGACGCCGGCUUUGGUAUUUGAAUAUAUCAAUAAUACAGAUUUUAAGCAACUAUACCAGAUCCUGACAGACUUUGAUAUCCGGUUUUAUAUGUAUGAGCUGCUUAAGGCUCUGGAUUACUGCCACAGCAAGGGAAUCAUGCACAGGGAUGUGAAACCUCACAACGUCAUGAUAGAUCAUCAACAGAAAAAGCUGCGACUGAUAGACUGGGGCCUGGCAGAGUUCUACCACCCUGCUCAGGAGUACAAUGUCCGUGUAGCCUCGAGGUACUUCAAGGGCCCUGAGCUCCUCGUGGACUAUCAGAUGUAUGAUUACAGCUUGGACAUGUGGAGUUUGGGCUGUAUGUUAGCAAGCAUGAUCUUUCGAAAGGAGCCCUUCUUCCAUGGACAGGACAACUACGACCAGCUUGUUCGCAUUGCCAAGGUUCUGGGUACAGAUGAGCUGUAUGGCUAUCUGAAGAAGUAUCACAUAGACCUAGAUCCGCACUUCAACGAUAUCCUGGGACAACAUUCACGGAAACGCUGGGAAAACUUUAUCCAUAGUGAGAACAGACAUCUCGUCAGCCCCGAGGCCCUAGAUCUUCUGGACAAACUUCUGCGAUACGACCAUCAGCAGAGACUGACUGCCAAAGAGGCCAUGGAGCACCCGUACUUCUACCCCGUGGUGAAGGAGCAGUCCCAACCUUGUGCAGACAACGCUGUGCUUUCCAGUGGCCUCACGGCAGCCCGGUGAAGUCUGGAAGGCGACGGGUCUGUUGCGGUUCCUCCCACUUUUCCAUAAGCAGAACAAGAACCAAAUCAAACGUCUUAACGUGUGUAGAGCGCGAUCACGUUCCGUGAGCAGACACAAAAUGGUGGCAGGUUUGGCGAGCACGAACCAGACCAACCGAAGGGCAGCCCGCCACCGUAUUUCAAACCUCACUUCUGAAUGUAAAAGGUUCACACGCCUUUGGCUUCCUGUUGACUUCCUCCUGACCCAGAAAGCAUGGGAAAUGUGAAGGGUGACUGUGGGAACGCAGGUGUGGACACUCACAGUUUCUGAAGCAAUUGUGGGGGGAAAGCAAAGAGGCCCCUCAGGGUCACCACGGCGUCACAGUGGCCCCUGGAGCAGCUUCUGUCGUAUCCAAGCAGUUCCACAGGUGUGGGAGCCCGAGACAGUGCCUGCCCCCCCCCGGCCCCCGGACACCAGCGAGGAGGGCCCGCAGGCCCACCGCCAGCAGACUUUGUAAGGCCGACAGGACAUCGAGUGGAUGGACUUGGGACUUUUCCAGCACCAUCACUGGCCUGGUCUUCUCAAGCAGGCACUCAUGCCGCGGCCCUUUUGACUCCAGGCUCUGCAGAUUUCUCUUGGUCUCCCAGGUCUCUGGGACAGCAUCUCAAUACCUCAUUAUAACGAGCACGUCCCCAAAGCUCCUGAGGACACGGUGCUUUGUGUGCACAUGUUUAUCUACAGAGCACGUUACCUCCGUGGUGACCCACUGGCAUUUGAGGGCCUUCCCAGACCAGAAGGGGCUCUUCGGAGUAGAUACAGUUGAUUGACUUGGGAAUUCUUAGAUGCCAUGCAGAACUCAAAUGUUAGCUCCCCAUUUUUCUUCCCAGGGUGCUCUCUAACUUCCCAGUGGGAAAGUCUUGUUUUCUGGAAACCCCUCGAGCAUAUCAGAUGUUUCUUUUUUGUGGAUGAUUACUGUUGGGCGGAAGAGAGGUUGUAGAAUGAAGGGAAAGGAGGAAUUUUUGCUUAGGCUUUUUUGACCUUGAGAGAAGGGGACAAGGGACCUGCUUACCCAAAAACAGUCUAUAAAGCUCAUCCACAAAGUGCUUGGCAAUUCAGAACAUCAGUUCACAUCUUUCAAUGGCCCUGCUUAUAUUUGGAUUGUUUAAAGUAACAUUUAUUUAUUCUGAUUACCAAAGUAAUAUAUGCUCAUGGUAAGAAAUUCUGAAAGCCUUCCCUUACCACAUGCCGCGCGCCCACACACACACACACACACACACACACACACACACACACACACACACUCUACUCUUUCCUCCCUUGGAGGUAACCAUAGUUAAUUUUGGCGUAUAUCUUGUAAUUUACUAACAUUUAAAAAUCAACGAUUUUUAUUUUUUCAGAAAUGUAAUCAAACCACACAUUCUCUCUCUCUUUUUUGCAACUUGUGCUUUCGCUUACUUGUGACAGUUUUACUGUUAGCACGUAUAGACCUACCUCACCCCUUUUUGUGGCUGCAUGGGGUUCCAUUGUGUGACGUACCACAGUUGAAGCAAUCCCUUCCUGAUGAGAGACUUUUACCAGUACUGUUACCAGUAUUGGUACAAUGAACAAAUCUGCACAUACAUUUUUACACGGUAUGUUUGUGAGAUAAGAUCCUAAAAAGGAAAAACUGUGCUGUAUGUUUUGUUUUAGAAAGGGCACUGCUAUGAUUCAGAGGAAGCAGUCUUCUCUUCCCUUCUCUCACUGGUUUAGGUUGGAACUGGGAUGCCUUUAGUCAUGGAAUUCUUGUGAGGCUCUGUUAGGCACUGGGACAUGAUGCCCAGAGUCUUUGCGCUUUCCAGGGAAACGGGAAUGUUUGAGACCUGAAAAAAAGAAAAGGUGUUGGCGCUAACAUAAGAAAGUUAUGAAAUAAAAAACUAAUAAAUGUAAUUACAUGUCUUUCCAA